CCUACGGGAGGCAGCAGUGGGGAAUAUUGCGCAAUGGGCGAAAGCCUGACCCAGCGACGCCGCGUGAGGGAUGAAGGUCCUCGGAUCGUAAAACUCUGUCAGCCGGGAAGAAAGGUCACCGUGCUAAUCAGCAGUGAAUUGACGGUACCUGCAAAGGAAGCACCGGCUAACUCCGUGCCAGCAGCCGCGGUAAUACGGCGGGUGCGUGCGUUAAUCGGAAUUACUGGGCGUAAAGCGCUCGUAGGCGGGAAGUCAAGUCAAGGGUGAAAUCCCCGCGCCCAACGUGGGAACUGCCUUUGAAACUGGCAAACUGGGGUGUGUGGGAGGAUAGUGGAAUUGCGGGUGGAGGAGUGAAA
rnacentral:rRNA from 1 species